rnacentral:rRNA from 1 species
UACGGGGGGGGCAAGCGUUGUUCGGAAUUACUGGGCGUAAAGGGCUCGUAGGCCGCCAACUAAGUCGGACGUGAAAUCCCCAGGCUCAACCUGGGAACUGCGUCCGAUACUGGAUGGCUUGAAUCCGGGAGAGGGAUGCAGAAUUCCAGGUGUAGCGGUGAAAUGCGUAGAGAUCGGGAGGAACACCAGAGGCGAAGGCGGCGACCUGGACAGAUACUGACGCUGAGGUGCGAAAGCGUGGGGAGCAAACAGG